rnacentral:lncRNA from 1 species
CAACUGACAAUUUGUAUAACAACGAUGGCAGGGUAUUAAAUAAUAAUACUUGUAUAGAGACAACUAAUAAUUUAAAUAAUGAAGGAAAUGUUUAUAAUGAAGAUAGUACAUCUACAAGUGCUCAAUUUGAUCAAAAACACAUGAGUACAGAAAGAGAUAAGGUCUUAUGUAUUGAUGGAAAGACAGUUUUUAAAAACAUAAGUAGUACUAAUAAUAUUACUUCUUCAGAUAAAUUAUUAAAUAACAAGUUGUAUAAUGAUAAUAAUGUUCAUAGUAAUCAGAUAAUAACACAAGAUGUGGAUAUACACAAUGAAAAAAAAAAAGACAAUGAGGAUGAUAGUACAAGAAAAGUGUAUUUAAUCGAACAACUUGAUACAGUUAAUAAUGAUACGAAUGAGAUUUUACAGAAACAUAAUAUGUACGACAUAAAAGACACACAAAACAAAAUUUAUGGAGAUCUUCCAUUAAAAACAAACGAAAGUGUUAAAAAUCUGUGGGUACUAAAAAAGCAUAAUGAUGAUAAUAAUGUUAGUAAAAGUAACAUUAUUCGUGAUGAGCUUCAUUUAUGUAUAAAUACAGAAGAACAUGAACAGUUAAGUGAUAAAAACCAACACGAAAAAAAUACAGUUAAUAAGAUAAGUUGUGUGAAUAGUAAACGUGACAACGAAACAGAUGGAUCUAAUAUGAUAAGUACAAGUUUGGUUUAUAAUCGAAAAUAUAAUACGGUAUGUGAUAGUGAUGGAAAAAAUAUAGAAGAUUAUAAAUUAACUAACUAUAGUGUGGAUAACACUAAUUUAAUUAAUUAUAAUGUUCCUAAUCCUAAUUUUCCUAGUGUGACAAAAAAAAAAAACAUACAAAACGAUAUAAAAAACAAAGAUGGGUACAAAUGUGAUUUUAAUUUAUUAACAGGUUCGUUAAAUGACAUAUUCUCAAAAGAAAUAGUUGAAUUUAUUCAAGCAUCUAAAAUAAAGUCUAACAUAAAUGAUAUAUGUAAAGGAAGGAAUAUACAACAAAAAGAAAAGUAUAAGAAACCUAAAAGAAAUAUUAUUAAGGCUAAAACAGGUUCGAAUAAUUCGAUGAGUCUUAAAGAAAAGAAAAUAAGAAGGAGGUUGAGUGCAUCGAUGGUUCCUAUUAGUGCUGCUCCUGUUCCUCUGUCCACUAAUGGCACUAAUACCACUAAUACCACUAAUGGCACUAAUACCACUAAUGGUACUAAUACCACUAAUGGCACUAAUGUCACUAAUACCACUAAUGGUACUAAUACCACUAAUGGCACUAAUGUCACUAAUAUCACUAGUGUUGACAUUCAGUCAGAAAUGCAAAAAGAUGUUCACCAUAAUAAUGAUAGCAAAAAGGAGUUGGGAAAAUAUGAAGAUAAUAGUAACGAUCAAAGUUGUGACAUAAGUACUAACGCAGAUGGUAAGAUAAGUGACAAUACAAAUUCCAAUAUAAAAGGAAAGCUACAAACGGAACACAGUGUUAUCAAUAACGAAACAACCCAAGAAAAUAUACCCGACAAAGAGUUACAACAAAACAAGGUAAACUCAAGGGAGGAUAUAUUUCAACAUAAUAAUAUGUCAAAUAGAAUAAGUUGCACAGAAGAAGGUAAAAAAGGAAAAGAAGAAAAAAAGGAAGAGAAAGGAAAAGAAAAAGGAGAAGAAAACAAAAAAGGAGAAAAAAACAAAAAAGGAGAAAAAAACAAAAAAGGAGAAAAAAACAAAA